AGCGAACGCUGGCGGCAGGCCUAACACAUGCGAGUCGAACGAACCUUUCGGGGUUAGUGGCGGACGGGUGAGUAACACGUGGGAACGUGCCUUUAGGUUCGGAAUAACUCAGGGAAACUUGUGCUAAUACCGAAUGUGCCCUUCGGGGGAAAGAUUUAUCGCCUUUAGAGCGGCCCGCGGCUGAUUAGCUAGUUGGGUGAGGUAAUGGCUCACCAAGGCGACGAUCAGUAGCUGGUCUGAGAGGAGGAUCGGCCACAUUGGGACUGAGACACGGCCCAGACUCCUCCGGGAGGGAGCAGGGGGGGAUAUUGCACAAUGGGCGGACGCCUGAUGCAGCAACGCCGCGGGCGGGAUGAAGGCCUUCGGGUUGGAAACAGCGUUCGCCUGUGACGAAGCGUGAGUGACGGUAAUGGGUAAAGAAGCACCGGCUAAUUACGUG
rnacentral:rRNA from 1 species